rnacentral:ncRNA from 2 species
UAAAAAAGCUAGGGGUGCCCAAUAAGCAGGGCUGAGAAGGGAACGCGAUAAAGUUUCCUGACUCUUCGGACCUGAUCUGGAUCAUACCAGCGUGGGGAAGUUAGAUGAAUCAUCA